rnacentral:lncRNA from 1 species
UGCUGAUUGAAAAAAGGAUUAAUAUUUACCCAAUUGGCAUUUAAAUGGAAACAGGAAUCUUUGGUUUAGUAACACUAACAAUUUAUUUAUUAGAAAGUAGUACACUAGCACGUCUAAUCAAGGAUGUAUAGAGUAAACAUUGACAGGCUUGAAGAGCCAUGAUGACUUGGCCCACACAUGUGGGAUAAAGGAGAGCUUGUUGAAAAGAUAGCUCUAAAUCUGGGCUAACUGGGGUAACAGCUGCUCCUGAGGCAUUCAGGCAAAUACGUAAAAUCUCCGUUCCUCUGGCGCCAAUCACUCUGACAGCCCAAUUGUGACUCAUCACAUUCUAGCCCACAGAACUCCAUUUAAAACAGGUGUCCUCAAUCAGAUGGAUGAUUAGACUCCUUGUGAAAUCAGAGGGAAAGAAGAGACUUAUGGGGAGAAGAUUCUCACAGGUCCAUUGCUGACAUAGUAGGCAGAUGCUGAAAAGUACCCUGAAUAGGGGUAAUUCUCUCAGGAACACAGCAGGGAAAUGGAUCCUUGAACUUCUCACGACCUGAGUUUUGCACCAAGCUUCUCUCCUGAGAAUGGACAUGGGGAUCAAGUUCAACACAUAGUCAGAGAGGGCGUGAAAGAGUUCUUAGAAUUUGGGACCACUGGCCCUCCUUCCAUGUUACCACCCAGCACCUCUUCUUCGGUAGCAUGAUGGAUGACAGAACUAUUUAUGAACUUCUCAGCCUUCAGCUGCCUGGAUACAUGGAGCACGAGCGUUUUAGUUUUUUACCAGAACUUUACCACUGUUGCCUAAAGAGACAUUGACAAGGGAAUACGUCUAAUAUUGGUGGGAUUUCAAACAUAAAUAAUUUCAAAACCUGUGUUGUAUCACCCCUACUCUUCAUUCUGUAGCAAAAAGGAUAGGACAUCACUACCUGCUCAGGAAAUGCCUUCGUUCUGCUCCUCCCCUGAUCCCCUACCAGUAGUCACAGGA